rnacentral:snRNA from 1 species
GUGCUCUUUUUGACAGCACUUACACUAAGCUGGAAAGAUACAGAGAAAUUAGUAUGGAUGACAUGCAAAUUUGUUAGGCAUUCCAUAUUUUU